GAUGAACGCUGGCGGCGUGCCUAAUACAUGCAAGUCGAGCGAACGGACGAGAAGCUUGCUUCUCUGAUGUUAGCGGCGGACGGGUGAGUAACACGUGGAUAACCUACCUAUAAGACUGGGAUAACUUCGGGAAACCGGAGCUAAUACCGGAUAAUAUUUUGAACCGCAUGGUUCAAAAGUGAAAGACGGUCUUGCUGUCACUUAUCGAUGGAUCCGCGCUGCAUUAGCUAGUUGGUAAGGUAACGGCUUACCAAGGCAACGAUGCAUAGACGACCUGAGAGGGUGAUCGGCCACACUGGAACUGAGACACGGUCCAGACUCCUACGGGAGGCAGCAGUAGGGAAUCUUCCGCAAUGGGCGAAAGCCUGACGGAGCAACGCCGCGUGAGUGAUGAAGGUCUUCGGAUCGUAAAGCUCUGUUAUUAGGGAAGAACAUAUGUGUAAGUAACUGUGCACAUCUUGACGGUACCUAAUCAGAAAGCCACGGCUAACUACGUG
rnacentral:rRNA from 1 species